CCAGACUCCUACGGGAGGCAGCAGUGAGGAAUAUUGGUCAAUGGGCGGAAGCCUGAACCAGCCAAGUCGCGUGAGGGAAUAAGGCCCUACGGGUCGUAAACCUCUUUUGCCGGGGAGCAAGGGCGGGGACGUGUCCCGGCCCGGAGAGUACCCGGAGAAAAAGCAUCGGCUAACUCCGUGCCAGCAGCCGCGGUAAUACGGAGGAUGCGAGCGUUAUCCGGAUUUAUUGGGUUUAAAGGGUGCGCAGGCGGAGGUGCAAGUCAGCGGUCAAAUUGCGGGGCUCAACCCCGUACUGCCGUUGAAACUGCAGCCCUUGAGUGCGCGAGAAGUAUGCGGAAUGCGUGGUGUAGCGGUGAAAUGCAUAGAUAUCACACAGAACACCGAUUGCGAAGGCAUCUGACGAAUCGGAGAUUGACGCUGAUGCACGAAAGCGUGGGUAUCGAACAGGAUUAGAUACCCUCGUAAA
rnacentral:rRNA from 1 species